rnacentral:rRNA from 1 species
UUGAACGCUGGCGGCUGCUUAACACAUGCAAGUCGAACGGAGUGGCGAACGGGUGAGUAACGCGUGAGCAACCUGCCUAUGACAGUGGGAAAGCCUCGGGAAACCGGGAUUAAUACCGCAUAGUCAUAGAUGGGCUCGCGUCUGAUUAGGUAGUUGGCGAGAUAACAGCCCACCAAGGCGACGAUCAGUAGCCGGUCUGAGAGAAUGACCGGCCCCCUUGGAACUGGGCCCCGGUCCAAACUCCUCCGGUAGGCAGCAGUGGGGAAUAUUGCACAAUGGGGGAAACCCUGAUGCAGCGACGCCGCGUGAACGAAGAAGGUAUUCGUAUCGUAACGUUCUGUCCUAUGGGAAGCAGUACCAUAGAAGAAAGCUCCGGCUAAAUACGUGCCAGCAGCCGCGGUAAUAC